rnacentral:lncRNA from 1 species
AGUAAGAAGCAAACUAAAGCACAGCCAUUGACUGCAAACACGAGUCUGUCUGCUAGCACAAGUAGCAACGUGUUGGGAAGUAAGAGAAGCUGAAGAGGUAGUCGCUGUGUGUGUGAAUGGCUUUGAACCGUAUUCCCAUUCUAUCCCCCAAGUGAUCUGCAUGCCCAAGACACAGUAAAAGUUUGUGAGACAGUGGUGGUAAGAGAUGCAUUCGUGUUAAAGUCAAAGGCUGUUAGAAACACUGUGAACGUUUCCAUUCAUCCAUCGUGAUUUCUCCGCCAUCUUGCAUGUGUAACCGGAUUCCCACAGUGGUAUGGACUGUGCAUGGUGUGUGUAUUUCAUAGCAAUUUUCACUCAGAACUGACCGAUACAGGAGGUUUAACAUACACAGCAGUCUCUUCCCUGCCCCACGACCACUACUGACCAAGAAGUCUUUAGUGUGCUUGCUCCCCUCUGGUGAAGGCACACGCUAGUCAGCACACCAGUCGUUAGUUAAAAUGCUCGUCCACAGGUGUCCUCCCAGCGGACCCGUGUAAAGGGCGAGCUUAUCCUGGAGACCUCUCACUCCUGUGACUGUGUUGAAACUCUGCGAGGCUUCCUGGGCGUGGCUGUGCCCACACCUUACAGUUGUGACGGGGCCCAUCUUUUUAUAUCCACCCUCUGAUGCCCUCUUCCAAUUUCACCCUAGCUGUGGUUCUAGCUAGUCCUGAGAACAGAUGGAGGAGAGACAGCCUAGUAGUGAAUGACCUUGUUCUACAGUUUCUCUUCUAGGUAAGAUAAGGAAGCCAACGGCCAACCAACCUUUUCCUUUUUGUUUUUUAACUUUAAGAUAAAAGUAGCUGGGAAAUAUUGACGUGAAUGGAAGAAUCACAGAAUGGCAACAGAUCCCAUUGUCUUUAAAAGAUUAUGUAAUGUGGUUAGAAAUGGAAUCAUUCCUGUUAACUGAUUUUUUUUAUAUCUGUAAGAACACUGUAUAUUAUGUUCCUUUGUGUUGAAUUUUUUUUUUAAAGAAAUACUUUACUUGGAUAUUUCUGUAAUAUAUAAAGGUUUGGUGAGAUGAAUUUUAGUUAGGAAAAAAAGCUGACAUCAGCUUUCAUGUGUGUGAGUUGACACCAAUGUGUCAUAAUAUUCUUUAUUUUGGGAUAUUAGUGUAUUUUAUAGAAAUUUUAAAAAAGCAAAAAGACUACUACAAGUUAAGAUGAUUUUUUUUACCUGUCCUUUCUCCAUGUUUUCAGCUAUGUGAUUUGAAGUAUCCGUGGUAAUAGCUUCCUGGUAUAACGUGGGUUAAACUCUCAUCUGUUGGUAGAACAUUAGGUGGUAUAAUGUGUGGGUUUUGUAUUGGGCUUUUUGGAGACAGUAGAUGGAUGUUGUAACAAAGGAUUGUUACACCGUGGUGGGGAUGAGAAGUGGUCAAUUUCUCAUGCCUUUUAUGUUAAUUUUGAGGACUGGAUAAAAGUUUCAUUAUUAAAAAUUGAUGUUCAACCCUUCUAUGCC